rnacentral:lncRNA from 1 species
GAGAAAGGGUCUUGCUCUCUUAUCCAGGCUGGAAUGCAGUGGCAUGAUCAUGGCUCACUGAAGCCUCGAUCUCCGGGGCUCACAGGACCCUCCCUCAUCAGCCCCCUCAGUAGCUGCAACCAUAGGCAUGCGCCACCACACCCAGCUAAUUUUUUUAAUUUUGUGUAGAGAUGGGGUCUCACCAUGUUGUCCAAGCUGGUCUCAAAUCCCUGGGAUCAAGCAAUCCUCCCAAUCAGCCUCACAAAGUGUUAGGAUUACAGCCAUGAGCCACCACAUCUGGCCAAGUGUAAUUUUAAACUCUCAGAUUUUAAUAUGAAUUUCAAUUUAUCACAACUGUUGUUUUGGUAUACACAAUUUCCCAUCUUUGGCAAGAAAUAAUCCCUUUAAAUUGGCUCCUAGUCCUUAAAAAUGCAGUAUUUUUUAAGGGUUUCCUUUAUUUCAUGUUCAACAAGAUGUUUUCAGCUCAUCUCAUACAUUCGUCAUUUCUCCAAGGAAUUCUUAUUCCUUUUAGCAGAAAAUUGCAUUUAGAGACUAUAAUCUGCAUUCUAAGGGUGCUCAUUACUGAUUUUCAAAUAACAGGGCUAGAAAAUGUGCUUCUGUAAAGGAAAUACAUUAUGAUUUUAUAAUGAUAUUUCCAAUUCAAAUUUGUAAUUAUAAACACAAUUUAUAAUUUUAUUUAGCAGCUUUGAUUUUAUAUAUAUAGUUUCUUGAUUCCUAAUAUUAACAAAAUUGCAUGUUAUUUAUCCUCCAAAAUGUAUAUAAUAGAUUCAGAGUAACAAUAUUAACAUAUAUUAUUAUUCAAUAUUAAUACUAUUUGUAAAUUAAUUUUAUUUUUAAUUUUUUAUUUAUUUUUAAUUUAGUUUCAUACUUUAGGGCAUAUCCACUAAAAAUGCAUAGACAAGUGACUGUGUUUUAAAAAUACUUGAAGUAAUUCUCCUCUGUGUGUUUAGGACACCAACACAAUUAGUUUCAUUUAUUUCAUUUAGCUUUUGCUUUGGAUAUAUAGUUACGCACCUCAUAACAUUGUUUCAGUCAACAAUGGACCACAAUGAACCACGUAUGCACCAGUGGUUCCAUAAGGUUGUAAUGGAGCUGGACAAUUUCUAUCACCUAGUGACACUGUAACUGCAGUGACAUCAUAGCUGUCUUAAUGGUAUAGCGCAAUGCAUUACAUAUGCAAAUCUAUGAAUAAAAAAGAAGCAAAUUGAGUAAACCACCAUGGACAUAUUUCUGAAAAGAGUGACACUGCCUCAAAAAGAGCCUCAGGCAGGUCCUUCAGGAAGCCUUCCAGAAGGCAUUGUUAUCAUAGGAAAUGACAGCUCCAUACAUGUUAUUGCCCCUCAAGACCUUCCAGUGGGACAAGAUGUGGAGAUGGAAGACACUGAUAUUAAUGAUCCUGACCCUGUGUAGGUCUAGGCUAAUAUGUGGGUGUCUUACAUGUUUUUUUUAAGCUUUAAAAAAAAAAAUACAUUUGAAAAUAUUUUAAAAAGCUUAUAGAAUGACAUAAAGAAAAUAUUUUUGUACAGCUGUACAAUGUGUGUUUUAAGCUAAGUGUUAUUACAAGAGUUAAAAACUUAAAAAACAUUUAAAAAGUUUAAAAAGUAAGUUACAGUGAGCUAACUCAUUAUUGAAGAAGAAAAUGUUUUUUAUAAAUUUAGUGUAGCCCAAAUGUUCAUAAAUUCUACAGUAGUGUAGAAUAAUUUCCUAGGCCUCCACAUUCACUCACCACUCACUCACUGACUCAUACAGAGCAACUUCCAACCUCUAAGCUCCAUUCCUGGUAAGUGCCCUUGCAAGUGUACCAUUUUUUGACUUUUAUACUGUGUUUUUACUGUACCUUUUCUAUGUUUAGAUACACAAAUGUUUACCAUUCUGUUACAAUUGCCUACAGUAUUCAGUACAGUAACAUGCUAUACAGGUUUGUAGCUUAGGAGCAAUAGACUACAUCAUAUAGCCUAGGUGUGCAGUAGGUAUAUUCUAUGAUGUUGGCACAGGGACAAAAGUGCCUAACGGCACCAUUUCUCAGAAUAUAUCCCUGUCAUUAAGUGACACAUCACUGUAUAAGUAUUUUUUAUCUUGAUUAUAAGUGUGACGUGUGUAAAACAUUGACAUGGUUCUAAAGUUCUAGCUACAAAACAAAGUAAAUUUAGAGAAAUCUAACUUCCAUCUGUGUCCCCUUGCUUUCUUCUAAAAAAUCAUUUUAGUGGUUUCUUAUUCUUUCAUUUUCUAAAUAAAAGCAAAAUACAUAUUUAUAUUCUCCCUUUAUUAAAUAAGAGGUAGCAUACUCUAUUAACUAUUCUACACCUUGUUUUUUUCACUUAACAAUAUAUCCUAAAGAUCAUUUUAUGAAAGUAUACAAAUUUCCUACCCCUGUUGGAGCUGCUUAGUAUUCCACGGGGUGAAUGCACUGUAGUAGGUUCAACCACUCCUGAGUUGGUGGACAUCUGAGUCGUUUCCAGUCUUUAACUAUUAUAGGCAAUGCUUCGGUGAACAUGUCUUUUCAUGUUUGUGCCAUUGUAUCUUUAGUUUUGUAUCAGUUAGCUUUUGCUAUGUAUAGCACACUGCCUCAGAACUUAAUGGCAUAAAGCUACAAUCAUUCAUUAGCUCAAGAUUCUGUAGGUCAGCAAUUUUGGCAGAGCUCAGUGCUGUCCUUCUGUUGUUCUCACUCAUGUGACUGAAGUCAGCUGGCAACUCAGCUGGAGCUGGAUAGUCUAAGACAGACUCAUCCAUGUGUCUGGUGUAAGCAGGCUGUGAGCCAAGGUUUCUCAAGUGACCUCUCAUCCUCCAGCAGGCUAGCUAGUGAUCAUUUAUGUGGUCUCAUGGCAGUCUCAGGGCUCCAAGCACUUCAAGAGAGAGCAAGCUCAAUGCCCAAGCACUUUUCAAUCUUCUGUGGCCAUCAAGUUUGCUAUUGUCAUUUUGAUCAUGCAGGACACAUGGACAAGCCCACUGUCAGUAGAAAAGAAGAGGACUAACCAAAGACGUGCAAACAUAUUUCCCUGCUUCCAUGGAAUGGGUAUACCACCGUCUAUUUGCAAAUCAUCUACCAUGGAGAGACAUUCCUAAACGUGGGCGAUAUGGUUUGGAUAUUUGUCUCCUCGAAGUCUCAUGUUGAAAUAUGAUCCCCGCUGUUGGAGACGGGGCCUAGGGGGAGGUGUUUGGGUCUAGGUAGUGGAUCCCUCGUGAAUGGUUUGGCACUUUCUCAGUAGCAAUGCGUUCACAUGAGAACUGGUUGCUUAAAAGAGCCUGGUAUCUCUCUUGCUUCCUCUCGUCAUGUAAUAUGCUGGCUCCUCUUCUCUUCCACCAAGACCAAAAGCUUCCUGGGCCUCAUCAGAAGCUGAGCAGAUGCUAACAGCCCUGCUUGUAUACAGCCUGAAGAACCAUGAAAAAAAAUACCUCCUUUCUUUAUAAAUUACCCAGCCUCAGAUUUUUUUAUAGCAAUAUGAAAGGAAUAAUAUAGCAGGAUUGCUGGGUCACAAGGCAAAUUUAAAUGUAAAAUUGCCAAAUUCCCCUAUAACAGAGAUUAUACAGUUUUGCAUUUCCUCCAUCAGUGAAUGUUCCUAUUCCAAUAGUGUUACCAAGAGAAUAUUUUCUUUUUUGAGACAGAGUUACACUCUCGUCGCCCAGGUUGGAGUGCAGAGGUGCAAUCUCGGCUCACUGCAACCUCCACCUCCCAGGUUCAAGCAAUUCUCCUGCCUCAGCCUCCCAAGUAGCUGGGAUUACAGGUGCGCACCAUUAUGCCCAGUAAAUUUUUGUAUUUUUAGUAGAGACGGGGUUUCACCAUGUUGGCCAGGCUGGUCUUGAAUGCCUGACCUCAGGUGAUCCACCCACCUUGGCCUCUCAAAGCGCUGGGAUUACAGGCAUGAGCCACCACACCUGGCCAAGCAAGUGUGUUUUCAAACUUUCAUUUUUUUUUUUUUUUUUU